UACAGAGGGUGCGAACGUUGCUCGGAAUUACUGGGCGUAAAGCGCAUGUAGGCGGAUCCAUAAGUCGGGCGUGAAAUCCCCAGGCUCAACCUGGGAACUGCGUUCGAAACUGUAGGUCUAGAGUGUCGGAGAGGAUGGCGGAAUUCCUGGUGUAGAAGUGAAAUUCGUAGAUAUCAGGAGGAACACCGGUGGCGAAGGCGGCCAUCUGGACGACAACUGACGCUGAGAUGCGAAAGCGUGGGGAGCAAACAGG
rnacentral:rRNA from 1 species